GUCUGGCUCAGGACGAACGCUGGCGGCGUGCUUAACACAUGCAAGUCGAACGGGGCGCUUAUGAUGGAGAUUUCGGUCAACGGAUUAAGUUGCCUAGUGGCGGACGGGUGAGUAACGCGUGAGUAACCUGCCUUUCAGAGGGGGACAACAGUUGGAAACGACUGCUAAUACCGCAUAAUAUAUAUGGACCGCAUGAUCUGUAUAUCAAAGAUUUAUCGCUGAAAGAUGGACUCGCGU
rnacentral:rRNA from 1 species